rnacentral:tRNA from 1 species
AGAAAGUUAGUCUAAUAAAGACAGUUGAUUUCGACUCAACAAAUCAUAGUCCUCACCUAUGACUUUCUU